UACAGAGGGGGCUAGCGUUGUUCGGAAUUACUGGGCGUAAAGGGCGCGUAGGUGGCCUGCUAAGUUCGAACGGUGAAAUCCCCGGGCUCAACCCGGGAAACUGCGUCCGAGACUGGCAGGCUUGAAUCCGGGAGAGGGAUGUGGAAUUCCAGGUGUAGCGGUGAAAUGCGUAGAUAUCUGGAGGAACACCGGUGGCGAAGGCGGCAUCCUGGACCGGUAUUGACGCUGAGGCGCGGAAAGCCAGGGGAAGCAAAGCGGGG
rnacentral:rRNA from 1 species